rnacentral:rRNA from 1 species
CCUACGGGAGGCAGCAGUGGGGAAUCUUGCGCAAUGGGCGGAAGCCUGACGCAGCAACGCCGCGUGCGGGAAGAAGGCCUUAGGGUCGUAAACCGCUUUCAGGGGGGACGAAGCUUCCGGGGUUAAUAGCCUACGGGGUGACGGUACUCCCAAAAGAAGGUCCGGCUAACUACGUGCCAGCAGCCGCGGUAAUACGUAGGGACCGAGCGUUGUCCGGAAUCAUUGGGCGUAAAGAGCGUGUAGGCGGCUUGGUAGGUCUCGUGUGAAAUCCCGCGGCUCAACCGCGGAUCCGCACGGGAAACCCCUAAGCUCGAGUCCGGAAGAGGAGAGUGGAAUUCCUGGUGUAGCGGUGAAAUGCGCAGAUAUCAGGAAGAACACCCGUAGCGAAGGCGGCUCUCUGGGACGGUACUGACGCUGAGACGCGAAAGCGUGGGGAGCAAACAGGAUUAGAUACCCUGGUAGUCCACGCCGUAAACGAUGGGCGCUAGGUGUGGGAGGUGUCGACUCCUCCCGUGCCGAAGCUAACGCAUUAAGCGCCCGCCUGGGGAGUACGGCCGCAAGGCUAAACGUCAAAUGAAUUGACGG